rnacentral:lncRNA from 1 species
GGAGGCAAACUUUCAAAUUCAAAAUUCAAAUAAAAAAGUUGAUAUAUCAUUUAUCUCUCCUCAUUCUUUCUUCUACCUUUAACUCUUCACUCUCUUGCUUUUUCUUAUUCAUAUUUUGUGGUAUUCUCCAUUCUACUAAAAUCCUUUUUUUUUGUGUUUUGUAGAAAAAAUAACAGGCAUUCAUCUCUAUCUAACAACAACAAGAAUAUACUCAUCUCAAUCCAACAACAACGCGAGUAAGUUCAUCUCUAUCUAAUGACAACAACAUGGGUAUGUAGAUGAAACUCAAUUUUCUUCAUUCUUUUUUCUAUCAUAUCAUAUUUAUGAUUUUUUUUCUUGAACUUCAUCACAACCGAAUAAAUAUCUGAAGAUCAAACACAUGUAUGAAGGUAUGAAAAUCAAACUCAUGUUUGUUAUCUUCCAAUUCUUUUUUGAACUUCAUUCUUUUAUUCUAUGUUAAAAUCUUUUUUCUAUGUUCUCUGAACUCAUAAAAAUAUUCUCUACUUUUAUUAAUAAAAAAAA